rnacentral:rRNA from 1 species
AUACGAAGGGGGCUAGCGUUGUUCGGAAUUACUGGGCGUAAAGCGCGCGUAGGCGGAUUGGUCAGUUAGGGGUGAAAUCCCAGGGCUUAACCCUGGAACUGCCUCUAAUACUGCCAGUCUUGAGUUCGGGAGAGGUGAGUGGAAUUCCUAGUGUAGAGGUGAAAUUCGUAGAUAUUAGGAAGAACACCAGUGGCGAAGGCGGCUCACUGGCCCGAUACUGACGCUGAGGCGCGAGAGCGUGGGGAGCAAACAGGAUUAGAAACCCUAGUAGUCC